ACGCUGGCGGCGUGCCUAAUACAUGCAAGUCGAGCGAGCGGAACCAGCAGAAUCACUUCGGUGAGGACGCUGGGAAAGUGAGCGGCGGAUGGGUGAGUAACACGUGGGGAACCUGCCCUUAAGUCUGGGAUACCACUUGGAAACAGGUGCUAAUACCGGAUAAGAAAGCAGUUCGCAUGAACAGCUUUUAAAAGGCGGCGCAAGCUGUCGCUAAAGGACGGACCCGCGGUGCAUUAGCUAGUUGGUAAGGUAACGGCCUACCAAGGCAGUGAUGCAUAGCCGAGUUGAGAGACUGAUCGGCCACAUUGGGACUGAGACACGGCCCAAACUCCUACGGGAGGCAGCAGUAGGGAAUCUUCCACAAUGGACGCAAGUCUGAUGGAGCAACGCCGCGUGAGUGAAGAAGGUUUUCGGACCGUAAAGCUCUGUUGUUGGCGAAGAAGGAUAGAGGUAGUAACUGGCCUUUAUUUGACGGUAAUCAACCAGAAAGUCACGGCUAACUACGUGCCAGCAGCCGCGGUAAUACGUAGGUGGCAAGCGUUGUCCGGAUUUAUUGGGCGUAAAGCGAGCGCAGGCGGAAGAAUAAGUCUGAUGUGAAAGCCCUCGGCUUAACCGAGGAAUUGCAUCGGAAACUGUUUUUCUUGAGUGCAGAAGAGGAGAGUAGAACUCCAUGUGUAGCGGUGGAAUGCGUAGAUAUAUGGAAGAAUACCAGUGGCGAAGGCGGCUCUCUGGUCUGCAACUGACGCUGAGGCUCGAAAGCAUGGGUAGCGAACAGGAUUAGAUACCCUGGUAGUCC
rnacentral:rRNA from 1 species